AACAUUUGGAGUGAAUUGGCGCAACUUCUCUACUCCCGCGUGAAGCAAUGUUUUGUUUUGAAGAUUGCUGAGUGACUACAGCUUUAUUUACACAUAUAACAUAUAUCUCCAGAUUGGGCUUCCAAAGAAGAGGUGGACCCAAUGGAGACAUUGUAGACUCCGACGUGGGGGAGCUAGCUGGUGAGAAAGGGGAAAAACACAGAGUGAGGAGACCUUGGACAUAAUGGUCCAACAUGGAGACUCUGGGAAGCCAGGUGAUGUAGGACCCCCGGACUGCCUGGUCCUCGGGGGUUGAACGGCAUGAGCGGUGUGCAUGGCAGGCCGGGUAUUGAGGGUCCACCGGGACAAGAUAUAUCUGACCAGCAUAUUAUUAAUGUGGUAUAAAGAAUGUUGCAAGAGAGGCUGGCAGCAGUAGCAGUGAGCACUAAAAGGGCUGUGCCGUUGAACAACCGGCUAUUCUGGUCCUCCGUGAUUAAUGGUUCCACAAGGACCACAUGGUUUGCCUGUUUCCCGAAGAAUUCCUGGAACGAUGGGAGCCGACAGACGGAUUGGAAACACAGGUCUUAAAGCAGGAUGUGCUCCAUUCGACUGCUGGAGAGUACUGAGCCGUUUUGAGCAGGAGGAGAAUUUAUAGGAGGUCUGCAGUGGGCGGGGCUCAUGCUCAACAAUGCAGUGUCGAGGUUUUUGGGUUAGGGUUGGCGUUAGG